rnacentral:rRNA from 1 species
UACGUAGGGUGCAAGCGUUAUCCGGAAUUAUUGGGCGUAAAGGGCUCGUAGGCGGUCUGUCACGUCGGGAGUGAAAACCCGGGGCUCAACUCCGGGCCUGCAGCCGAUACGGGCAGACUAGAGUUCGGCAGGGGGAGACUGGAAUUCCUGGUGGUAGCGGUGAAAUGCGCAGAUAUCAGGAGGAACACCGGUGGCGAAGGCGGGUCUCUGGGCCGAUACUGACGCUGAGGAGCGAAAGCGUGGGGAGCGAACAGG